AUGACGAAGAGGGGACGAGGGCGGACGCCGCGAACACUAGUGGCUCCGUCGUCAACGAAUAUCCUUCUCCGGAGACUCAACCGAUUGAGGAGAAAGGGACGCAAGAUCCUAGUGUUAGGUCGAAAGCUAUGGGUGCAUACUCUGAAGAACAAUCGAAAUCCUGCUAAUGGAGUAGCGUUGAAAUAUGUGGCACCAAAAUUGGUGGAUGGAAAAGUGGAGGUAGAAAUUGAAUUGGAGGAUAUUGCUUCAGAACUCAAAUUCUAG